UUUCUUAAAGAUAAUGCCAGAAACUGCAAGACGUUAGCUGUAUUGUCAUAUAAGUUUCAAGGUGUAGGUUUUUAAUUUUCUCUUAUGAAACACAGAAGCUGUGGCGAAAGCUGCCAUUAAAAUUCAUUACAAGAAAAGUAAACUUACAUUAAAAUCUAUUCCAUUCUUCUCUGAAUUCUUGGACCUAUUAGUAAGAACUGUCUACUUCUCUGACAAACCUUACCCUAUGCAGUGUGAUUUAAUCUAGGAGAUGCUUUGCUAAAUUGCAGUUUUUCAUGCAUCACAUCCUUGAAUCCCAGUUUCGAAAAAGAGAAAGAGAGAAACAACACUGCUCUAAACAGUAGCUUAGAUUUUAAAAACAACAAGCUAAAGUUGUAAGAGACCGCCUCAACUACUGUUCUUUGGCAAGUACAAAAAAAUACAUACAUAUAAAACAGGUUUGAAAAGAUGGCUUGAAUUAGAUGGGAGAGGACUCUCUGAUCUCUUUGUAUAUAUUCACCCCUUUUUGUACCAAAUCCAGGUUGCUUCUCCAAGCUGUUUUCAACCAUCUCCUCUGAGAGACAGUGCACUCAGUUGAGUGGUGAUAUGAACAGGGCUGAAAGAUGCAAGCUGAGGAAAUUGGUGAAAUGAUGCAGAUUGUACUGACCUGGCUUCAGUAAGUAGCAUCCUGGGUGCUUUGCUCCAUGGUGCUGAGCGCUGCACCAACAGAAAGACAAUCUGCUCAAGAUCUAAAUUAUUUUCAUGUGCAGCCAGGAAAAGAAAGGAGCGGGAGAAGUGUGAUCCUACAGCACAGGGAGUUCGGCUGUUGACUUCAAUGGGUUCACGAUAAGACCCUUUUGAGCUACAAGAACUCAGGCAUAGAUGUACCUCAGCACUAAGUUGGAGUCCAGUUCUCCUUUUUUGGUGCAACAGAGACAGGAAGAAGGGAUACAUAAAGGCCAGGAAUCAAGAACAGGGAAUUCUGGGAUUGCUGACUGAUGCAAGACUUUUUUAGGUUGACCCCUGCAGUACCUGUGUGAGUUCUGUGCACUUGUGAUAGAGGGGCUGGCUGGCUGGAAGGUAAGUGGGUCUCACUUUCACCCUCAAGUAUAGCAGCAUGUCCAGUUCAAACUGAACUGCCAUUGGAGGUGAAGGAUAGGGUUUUAGAGUGUAUAUGUGGUUGGUGAGUAUGGGCUGGAGAAUUCCCCAGCUAUCAGGGUUUGCAUAGCCCAAAGCUCUGCUUUUGCUGUAUUUGUCUUGCAUUACAUGAUUACUCCUUAAAAAAAAAAAAAAAGGCAGGGGAAGGGUUUGCAGGGCCAGAUAUGGGAUUGUUUGUAUGGACUUUUUAAAUUUACCUACAUACUUCAUUUUUAUGCUCAGGUUUGGUCUCUGCUUAUUUCUGUUUAUGUUAGCAAUGAACUGAUGUUUUACUACGAUCAUGUUUUUAGAGAGCUGAAAUUCUAUUUUGCUGCCAAAGCAUGAUAGCUAUUAAAUGAUUCUAAUAUUCUCUGAUUUUAUUGCCAGUACAUGACUUUUAAGACAGCCAAUUUACUUUAAAAACACUUCCUUUGUUCUCUGGCCAUUCGUGAAUAGUUGCCGUUUGAAAAGAAAGAGGAUUUUGAGCCCAUGUAUACAAAACCAAGGUCUGCCUGAGCUUCCUUCCCCUGCUCUGUCUUUACCUCACAUGGGUGUGGGGUGGAUUUGAGGUAUCUAUACCUCAAUGGGCAUGUCUACAUGUUCAUUAAUGCACCAUCAGGGCUGUCCCUAGUGGGGGGUGAAUCAGGGCACCCGCCCCAGGCCCUGUGCUUUGCAGGGCCCUGCAGAGCUGAGUGGAGCGGCUGCAGUGACUCUGCUCCUCCACUGCCGGCUUUGCAUCCAGCUGCUCACUACUCUCCCCACCUCCAACACCGACACCACUGCUGCCAAUGGUGGCAGCAGCUCCUUUGGGUCCAGGGCACACGGGGCCCUGCAUGGGCUGAUUUGCCCUGGGACCCGCACUGUGCCCAGGUUGGCUCUGGCACCAUAAUUACUGCGCAUUAAGUUUAGUACCUGUAUUACCAGGUACUAAAUCAAUGGCCAGUAACCAAUGGCUUUUGGUGUGAUGUGCUAAUGCACUGCAGAAUUAGUUUACUGCGCAUUUAGCAUCUCAUGUAGAUGCAUCCAGCAUCACCCUCCUCAGUCAACUUGCUGCUGAGACUCCUGCCGUCAGGUCACAGUGUAGUGUGGUGUUGCUGCUAAAUCUGGCCUGGAGCGUGCCACAGCAGUGACAGGUAGAGAUGGCCUGAUUCUCUAAUGGCUUGUCUUGCCUCCCCACAGGCCUUCUGCAACUCCUCCUUUGUCUGGCGUUGCUUCAUGUCCCUGUUGUAACCUAGCAUUUGCAUCUCCUUUGCAAAAAACAUCCUAAUUCUGCAGUCACCCCAUAGCUGGCUUGCGCUACCCCUUAUUUCCAAAAGCUGAGGAGAUCCAGGACUUCUUUCCUGAUCCAGAAAGCAACCAGAGAUUUAGCUUGAGCUCUGACUUUAUACAGACUGGUCCUAUCUUUUUUGCAGAAAUGUCUUAGCAGGAAAAAAUACUUUUCCAAAACAUGCUGGUGAAUUAUAAAGGGGCGGGUUAGUUUGGUUUCAAAUUAAUCUGACCCCUGAGCAGUGGAAUUCAAAACAGUGACUAGUGGUACCUGUUGUGGGGACUGGAGUAUUGUGGUGUUUUUGCCAAUGGACUAUUUUAUGGGUACGGUAGUGUUCACACAGAAGUCUGCAUGGCCAGCAUAAGUCUUUGAACAGAAUUUAAGUCAUUCAGACAAGUGGCUCUGUCAUGGUGACAGAAAGUCUGGGUUUUGCUGCCAAUGUGGGUGUGGUUGUAUGUAAAUUGGAGCCAACAAAAAAACAACUUUUGCCAGCAAAACUUUGUAGUGUGGAUAAGGUCAUACAAAUUUUCCUGAAGUGAUCACUGGGGAAACCUCUGUGAUGGCCAAAACCAGAGGGAUUAAUAAGCAAUAAAUAUGUGCUUCUUAGAGGCAUUUGGUAUUUUGCCUAAACAGGUAAUAUUAGUUAAUAUAAAGCUUGUAAGUUUGUAAACCACAAAUAUAACUUGCCUGUCAUAAGUUUAACCAAAAUAAUAAAAUUAACUGUUCGUGGAACUGACUGGGCCCCAUAGGCAAAGCUGUAGAUGCAAGAUUAGCUAACCUAAUGGUUUCUGCUCAGGGUUCAGCUUUAACAAUAAAAAACUGGAUCCAACUGCCUGGCACACCCAACACAUUCCAGGAAAGCACAUUCAAAUGAAACCUAAAAGGGGUUGGGGCUUAGGCGGAGCAAUGUCAAUUUCAAACCUAAAGGUGCUGCAUUAUAAUUUGCUUAUUGGAUAAACCCGAGUCUAGGUAGUAACCUUUUAUGAUAAUUUUUAACACCUUUCAAUCCCAUAGGGUAACAGCUAUAGGGCAACAUUGUGACUCUAAAACCAACAGAUUAGCAUAAGACUAGGUAUAAAAAGCACGUGCGUCAGGUGACCAGCAGGAAGGAGGGAACAGAAUGGUCAUUUCUGUUCCACACAUGGACCCUGGACUCCCGGUGUGAGUGAGGAUUGGAUCCUGACCAAGGGAUCUUCCCCGGCAAUCCCUCUGACAGCGUCGAUCAGAGGCGCCUGACUUCGCUGGAAUCAGUUGACACGUGCCUGGCAUUGAGGGACUAUCGAUAAGUUGCCAACCCAUGUCUGUCUAUCUGUUGUUUUGAACAGCCCAGUGGAUAAUACCCUCGCAAUGCCCAGUUGGCCUGCGACAGAAUUGAUCUAUCUACCUGUUGUUAUUAUCUGUUAUUUACUAUUAGCUCUUUAAUACUGCAUUAUCUGCUUAUCGCAUUUAUCUUUCUGUUAACUGUUGUGUGUGUGUAAGCUAUAAUAAAUUUGCCUUUACUUCACUCCUAA